AGGCCAGUAACACUGACUACUGAACUAGAGAGCUGAUGGAGACUGGAUUUGUGUCUUUCUGUUUAUUAUUCUGAUCUUCAACAGGACAAACACAGAAGAUCUGCUGAAGCGACUGAGCUCAGACUGUUAUAAAGAUGGCGUUUAUUAAAGAGGAGAGUGAAGACAUCAAGAUUGAAGAAACAUUCACAGUCAAACAUGAAGAGACUGAAGAACAAACAGAAAACCUGAUGCCAGUCAAAGAGGAGAGUCAAGAUCAGAACGAAGUAGAAGAGAAGGAUCAGCAUGAGGAAUGUCUGGAUUUCAGUUCUGGAGAAAAAUCAGAACAGACAAAAACCUCAUCACAAACAACAGCCAAAUCUCAUACCUGCCACCAGUGUGGAAAGAGUUUCACUUGGAAUUGUUACCUUGCCAUCCAUAUGAGGAUUCACACUGGAGAAAAGCCUUACACUUGCCAACAAUGUGGAAAGAGUUUCAAUCGGCGAGAAAACUUAAGAGAGCAUAUGAAGAUUCAUAAUGGAGAAAAACUUUACACUUGCCAACAGUGUGGAAAAAGCUUCACUUGGAAACAAAACCUUACAUCCCAUAUGAGGAUUCACACUGGAGAAAAGCCAUUCAAUUGCCAACAUUGUGGAAAGAGUUUCACUUAUAAACAACACCUUACAGACCAUGUGAGGAUGCACAAUGGAGAAAAGCCUUACAAUUGUCAACAUUGUGGAAAGAGUUUCACUUGGAAAAAAAACUUUAAAAGCCAUAUGAGGAUGCACAAUGGAGAAAAGCCCCAUGCCUGCCUACAGUGUGAAAAGAGUUUCACUUGGAAACAUCACCUUGUAACCCAUAUGAGGAUUCACACUGGAGAAAAACAACACAGCUGCCUACAGUGUGGAAAGGGUUUCACACGGAAACUAAACCUUACAAAACACAUGAGGAUCCACACUGGAGAAAAGCCUUACACUUGCCAACAGUGUGGAAAGAGUUUUUCUUGGAAACAAUACCUUACAGAUCAUAUGAGGACUCACACUGCUCACACUGCAGAAAAGCAACAUACCUGCCACCAGUGUGGAAAAGGUUUCACUCGCAAACGAAACCUUUUAAAUCAUAUGAUUAUUCACACAGGAGAAAAGCCUUACACUUGCCAACAAUGUGGAAAGAGUUUCAAUCAGAGACGAAACUUAAAAGAACAUGAGAAGAUUCACAAUGGAAAAAAACUUUACAUUUGCCAACAUUGUGGAAAGAGUUUCGCUCGCAAACAAUACCUUAUAAUCCAUAUGAGGAUUCAUACAGAAGAAAAGCCUUACAAUUGCCAACAAUGUGGAAAGAAUUUUUCUUGGAAAAAAUACCUCACAGACCAUGUGAGGAUUCACACUGGAGAAAAGCCUUACACUUGUCAACAAUGUGGAAAGAGUUUUAAUCGGAGAGAAAACGUAAAAGAGCAUAUGAAGCUUCAUAAUGGAGAAAAGCCUUACACUUGCCAGCAGUGUGGAAAGAGUUUUACUUGGAAACAAAACCUUACAUCCCAUAUGAGGAUUCACACUGGAGAAAAGCCCUAUGUCUGCCUACAUUGUGGGAAGAGUUUCACUUGUAAACAAAACCUUACAAAACACAUGAGGAUUCACACUGGAGAAAAGCCUUCACUUGCCAACAGUGUGGAAUGAGCUUUGCAUGUAUAAAUAUCCCUUAAUACCCAUGUGAUGCUGUAUACUGGAUAGAAGCCUGACACCUGGGUUUCUAUUAAAAAAAAAACUUAAAUUUCAUAAGAGGAUUCACAAUUAGAAAUAACCAAAUCAGAUUUCGUUAGUGCGGAGACUCAGACAGGAAUCACUGUAAUAACUUACACAAGAGGAGAGGAUGUCAUCACAGGGUGCAAUUAAAUGCAUCCCUAAAACAAGUCAGUUUUCAAGGAAAAAAAAACAGGUUUUUGAGAACACUCCCCUUUUGUCCCCUCCCCUUCCCAUGCACUUGUCAAUGAAGUCAUCUUGCCAGAAGUCUUGCAUCAUCUACAAAAACUUGAUUUUACCAAGCCUCAAGCAGUUUCACAAAGCAUCCUGCGACCCCUCACAUCUGUGUGUGCAAGUACCAAGCAAUCGGGUCAGUCCAUCAGAACUCUCACAAUCUGUUAAAGAUUUGUAAUUUUGCCAAGAACCUAGGCCACAGGAAGGAUUCACAGCCAACAACAUCAUCCUCUAGCAUCUGUAUUCCCUGGUAACCAGCUCCAACUACAUCAUGCAAAUCCUGACCAGACCAGACCAGCGGUGCCGGGAUUUCCAAGGGUGUAGGUUUGCUCUUGACAUUGAUGGGGAGUCUGAGGACCUAUAAAUCUCCCUGAACCGAAAUUCCACUUGCUACUCUGAGAGAUUAGGAGAACUGACAGGGAUCAUAUUCCCCCACUGUGCAUUUUUAUUUUAAGCUGUAAAAAAUGUGAGAUUCUCUGCCAUUUAUGUUUUUCAGGUUGCAAUGCUAAGAACUUAACAAGUGAUGGAAUUAUAAACUCCAGUCGCUUUUAUCCCUCACCCAAACUCAGAACUGGACUACACAAGAGUAGGACCCUGCAAGUUACAGAAGGUCCUGCAGAACACCACCCCUCCCCCCGGCCACCAGACUGUAAAGGAACUACAAUGCUUCAUGGGCUUUGCCAAUUUCUACCUACAAUCCAUCCACAUUCUUAUUAUAUUACCUCUUCACUCACUUCACUUCUUGAGAGAAAGAUGGAGACUCUUCCUAGGAACCCUGCUGCCCACUGUUAGGAAUUAAAUUAAAAAUCAUUAAUCAAAAAGAGAUUUAACCAAAACGUAACAAAAUAACAGGGAUUAAAAAUAUAAUCCCUGGUGCCCCCGCGCACUCUCUCCCCAAAAUAUUUACCAAAAACACAACCACUAAGAAUUAACAAGAAAGUAUGAUUUAUUUACAGAAAUAAGGAGCAAAAAUAACAUCAGGAGGGGUUCAGCCAUAAUAAAUGACAAUAAACCAAGCUAACUAAAUUAGAUUAAACUUCCCUAGAAAACAAAUAAAAUGAAAUACAGAAAACUUACCUCCCUACUAACAAACACAGGAGAAAAUGAAAAUAACAAAUAAGGCACCAAACCUCCCUACAUGCUCCAAGCCCGACAGGGAGACAGAAAACCGGGUUUCAAUCGCCGGUUAAAAAUUAACACACCGGCAUCUCACAAAGCCACAAAGAUAUACAUGCAAACACUCAUUGGAUCACGUUCUCAACUGAGUACAAGCGGGGAAAUCGAGAGAAAGCGGGGAGCCAUCGAACCCAUGUUCUCUGCAGGUUUUUAUAGUCGCCGCCAAUCCAAGCACCAAUCAUGGUCCGUCCCAACGUAAUCCGCUGCACCUGCGAAUACUUAGAGCGAGAAAGAGAGAGAGAGCGAGAGAAAGACCAGGGUUGGGGUCAUGCUGUUACUGUGAUCCUCUACUUCUCUACCCUUAAGCUUACUUCUCCAGGAAACUCACCGGUGGAGCAAAGUUAUGACAUUGGCAAUCACAAACACAAUCUUCAUCCUCAUGUCACUGCUCAGUCUGUGCCAUGUCAAAGACACCCAGAUCUUUGCCUGGUGACUCUGAUCCCGUAUUGGUAUUGACAGUGUUUCUGACUUCCAUAACUCUGAUGGUUUUAUCUCUGUUAUAGUUGCUGUAGAUUGUUUCUCCAAAGCCUGUAAACUCAUCCCUCUCCCUGGUUUACCUACUGCAAUAGAUACAGCAGAACUUUUCUUCCAGCUUGAGCUGAAACUAUAGCUCACAUGUAUUGACCGGGGCCCAGUUUACACCCUUAUCUGGAAAGCUUUUCUUCAAACUACUCACCAUUUCUGUUAACCAUUCUUCUGGUUGUCCCCCACAGUCAAAUGGCUUGGAGCUCAGACAGUAUCUCCGGUGGUACUGUCAUGAAAACCAGGACAAAUGGAACUGUUUGCUCCUGUGAGCUGAGUAUGCACAGAAACCCCUGCACCAAGAUACCACUGCCUUAACAUAUUUUCAGUGCAUACUAACCAGCCACCACUCUCUCCCUGGAUGGAGGAACUCUUCAAGGUUUCAGCUGUUGACUACUGGUUUAGAGAGAGUGUGGGAUUUACUCCAUCUGCAGAAACCCUUAGCAAAGAAAGUAAAAGACAAGACAUCUAAGACACUCCCCUAUCAACCUGACGACAAGACAUGGCUGUUCUGGACCAGCCAUCAAUCUACACAGUCAAUGAGAUCUUGGAUUUGUGAUGCAGGGUCUCCCAUCUGGAAUACCUGGUCGAAUGGGAGGACUAUAGACAAGAGCAGGGGUGUCAAACUCAGUUCCUGGAGGGCCGCAGCCCUGCACAGUUUAGUUCCAACCAUGCUUCAACACACUUACUUGUAGGUUUCAAACAAGUCUAAAGGACUCAAUCAGUUUGAUCAGGUGUGUUUAAAUAGGGUUGGAACUAAGCUGUGCAGAGCUGCGGCCCUCCAGGAACUGAGUUUAACACAUGUGGACUAGAGGACUGACUAGAGGCAGAGGUCACAACCAUGUUGUGUGAUGGCAUCAGGAGUCACCUCUGGAGAAGUGGUCCAUUUUGUUUGUUACUUUAUUACUCAGUAAAAAGUAGCUUAUUUUGUGUAUGUAGGGGUCAGAUGUGUACUGCAGUCUGAAGACAAUAUAUGUUUGUUUAAUUGUCUACUAAAGGUUUGUUUUACUGUUCAUUUUAUUUACAUUUUAUUUAGCUAUGCACACAUUUUUAGUUAGUUUCUGGUGUAUUUUAUUUUUACAUAUACAUUUUUGUAUGUGGGUUUUAAGUUUGGUUUCAGGAUAUAAAAGAAUAAUGUGUCCAUUGUGUUGUAACCGGAAAAUAAUACACGUUUUCCAGUACAUUUUAAUGUACCCUUAUAUAUGUAAAUGUGGGUAAAUUGUAAAAUGUAUGAAAUGCCUUUACAUGCAUACUGGAGAAAAUAAUUAAUCUGAACACACAAUGCUGCUGUGUAUUGAUGAGGGGUCAGAUGUGCACUGCAGUCUGAAGACAAUAUAUAUGUGUUAAAUUGUCCACUACAGGGUUGAAUAAAAUAGUGGAAAGCAGCUCUUGGUGUCUUUGGGAGUAAAAGCAGAUGUUGUAUUAAGAUCAUAUAAAUUUCACACAUAAAAUGUAAAGAUAAAACCUUUUUAUAAUUUCAUCAACCUGAACUUUGUACAGUCAUAUCUGGUAAAAGUAAACCAUAAAGAUAAAUAGUGAGAUAAUAAUAAAGUAUGUUUAAACAUU